rnacentral:rRNA from 1 species
UACGUAGGGGGCAAGCGUUGUCCGGAUUUAUUGGGCGUAAAGAGCGUGUAGGCGGUUAGGUAGGUCCGUUGUGAAAACUCGAGGCUCAACCUCGAGACGCCGAUGGAAACCAUCUGACUAGAGUCCGGAAGAGGAGAGUGGAAUUCCUGGUGUAGCGGUGAAAUGCGCAGAUAUCAGGAAGAACACCCGUGGCUAAGGCGGCUCUCUAGUACGUGACUGACGCUGAGACGCGAAAAGCGUGGGGGAGCAAAACAGG